GCUGGGGGUAGCUCAGUAGUAGAGUGCAUGCCUAGUGUGUGAGAGGUCCUAGGUUCAAUCCCUAGUACUGCA
rnacentral:tRNA from 1 species